GAUGAACGCUGGCGGCGUGCCUAAUACAUGCCAGUCGAGCGAACGGACGAGAAGCUUGCUUCUCUGAUGUUAGCGGCGGACGGGUGAGUAACACGUGGAUAACCUACCUAUAAGACUGGGAUAACUUCGGGAAACCGGAGCUAAUACCGUAUAAUAUUUUGAACCGCAUGGUUCAAAAGUAAAAGACGGUCUUGCUGUCACUUAUAGAUGGAUCCGCGCUGCAUUAGCUAGUUGGUAAGGUAACGGCUUACCACGGCAACGAUGCAUAGCCGACCUGAGAGGGUGAUAGGCCACACGGGAACUGAGACACGGUCAAGACUCCUAAGGGAGGCAGCAGUAGGGAAUCGUCCGCAAUGGGCGAAAGCCUGACGGAGCAACGCCGCGUGAGUGAUGAAGGUCUUCGGAUCGUAAAACUCUGUUAUUAGGGAAGAACAUAUGUGUAAGUAACUGUGCACAUCUUGACGGUACCUAAUCAGAAAGCCACGGCUAACUACGUG
rnacentral:rRNA from 1 species